UAGUUAUUGAUAUCCUAACCCCUACUCAAAACCCCUACUAAUAUCCUACAACCCCUAAUAUCCUACAACCCCUAUUAAUAUCCUACAACCCCUACUAUACCAAAACCCCUUCUAAAUCUCUUAACCCCUAAUAUUGUGCUCAAAUUUUUGUUAGGUGAUUAUGUUUUGUUUAGAAACCAUCUUAUCUUCAAGGGAAACUAUCCUACAACCCCUAUUAUUAUCUUACCCCUACUAUCCUACAAGCCCUACUAAUAUCCCACAACCCUUACUAUCCUAAUCCCUACUAAAUCUUUUAACCCCUACUAUUGUGCUCAAAUCUUUGCUAGGUGAUUACGUUUUGUUCAGAAAUUUGAUGCCUUUUAUGGAAUGUACCUUCUUCCGCAAAUGAUACAUCUUCCACUCUCCUAUGCAUUCCUAUAUUUCUUUUUUCUCAUAUUCCAAAAAUCUACCGUCUUGUUAAAGGUCUAUUAUUUUAACUUUGCAGGAAAACCACUGAAGAAGGAAACCUUUUUACUAGAACUGGUGAUGGAAAAGUAAUUGCUCAUGGAAGAGAUGGGAGACUUUAAAACUUUUUCAAGAGAAUUACUUUGAAACGCUGACUUGGUACAGAAGAAAAUCCUCCUGUUGUGACUCACCCUAACAUGGAACCUGAAGCAUCUUUAAACAGAGGCUCUUAUCACAACAUGAAUGAUGCAAGCAUGCAGGUUGCGGAUCGAGAUUGCAACCCUUAAGGAAAGCAUGCAAAACUUAGACCGAUUGACAUUCAAUAUUCGUAAACUUUGAGUCUCUCUCAUACAGGAAAACCACCGAAGAAGGAAACCUUCUUACUAGACCUGGUGAUGGAAAAAUAAUUGCUUGUGGAAGAGAUGAGAGGCUUAAAAACUUGUUCAAGGGAACUACUUUGAAACGCUAGCUUGGUACACAUAAGGAAAUCCUCCUGUUGUGACUCACCCUAACUUGGAACUUGAAGCAUCUUUAAACAGAGGUUCUUAUCACAACGCAGAAUUAUGGUUUCGAUUGAAUUCAUCAGAUUGCUCUAGUUAAUUAGUCGGAUAUGUUAAUUUAGCAUGCAGGCUACGGAUCGAGAUUGCAACCCUUAAGGAAAGCAUGCAAAACUUAGAGCGAUUGACAUUCGAUAUUCGUAAACUUCGAGUCUCUCUCAUACAGGCCAGGACAAACAUGCACGUUCAUCUAAAAGUGCUGCUUCUAGCACAACGGAAAUCUUGGAUGAAAUUAUUAGGGAAGCUGAAAUGGUAAAGCUUGCGCUUAGUGCUGCUUUGCCACUUAGCAGGUCUAGGGAGGGAGAUGUAGAAUCAUCUAGUGAUAUGAAUGUCAAUGAGAAUUCAAAUUAUGGAAACCCCCAACACUGAGAAAAUGGAUUCAGUUUCUGCAGCAGGCAUUGAAAUGGUAGAGCUUCUUAUAUUAGCAGCUCCGAUGAUGAAAAAAAGGGAGAAAAAGGUCAAAAGGGAGCACAAAUUGCAAUAAAUAAAUAAAAGCAUCAUAUCCAAGAAGUCAGACAAAUUCAAGUAAUCAACCUUGCAUGCUGAUGCUGUUAAUCAAUUUUUAAUAGCAAAUUUUGUCCAUUUUGUGAAAUAAUAGGGUAUUUUGUGUAAAUCUGUACACUAGAUUAUGAGUGUAAGUUGAGUAUGAGUAGUAUGUAUUUUUUUUCCUUUUCAGAGGAUCCUCUUCAAGUAUGUGUCUGAUGUAAAUUUUAAGCACUCACUGGGAAGAGAAUAUAAAAAGAAAGAAAGAAAGAAUGUCCUACAACUUGAUGUUUGAUGAACAACUGUGUCUAAUCUAAAUUACUUUGAUAAUGUGGAUUUAGUCUGGGUCCAAGUGAGGCUUAGUUUUGGUUUUUUUUAGUACAUAUGCUUUGUACAAAUAUUGAGUUUUACAUUUCUAAAAACAUUACAUUUGUCCAUUCCUAUCUCUGCUUUCUAAUGUGAAAUUCGC